rnacentral:rRNA from 1 species
GACGAACGCCGGCGGCGCGCCUAAUACACGCAAGCAGAACGCAGUUCCGAACGGGUGAGUACCGCGUAGGUAACUGCCUCAUAGCGGGGGAUAACCACUGGAAACGAUAGCUAAUACCGCAUACUGUGAGAAGGACCAGCGUUGUAAUAGCUAGUUGGUGAGGUAAAGGCACAACAAGGUGACGAUCCAUAGCCGACCUGAGAGGGUGAACGGCCACACUGGGACUGAGAGGCGGCACCGACUCCUACGGGAGGCAGCAGUAGGGAAUCUUCGGCAAUGGGCGGAAGUCUGACCGAGCAAGGCCGCGUGGGUGUAGAAGGUUUUCGGAUCGUAAAGCUCUGUUAUUAGUGAGGCGGUAACUAACCAGAAAGGGACGGCUAACUGCGUGCCAGCAGCCGCGGUAAUAC